rnacentral:miRNA from 1 species
GAAGUGGGAGGAUGACUUGAGCCUGGGAGAUCAAGUCUGCAGUGAGCUGUAAGCAUGCCACUGCACUCCAGCCUGAGUGACAGAGUGAGACCUUGUCUC